rnacentral:tRNA from 3 species
GUUAACAAAAUAAAGUAAUUUAAAAUUUAAGUAGUUUAAAUUAAAACAUUACACUUUCAUCGUAAAAUUAAAUUUUUCUUAA